rnacentral:rRNA from 1 species
AGGGAGUUUGAUCAUGGCUCAGAACGAACGCUGGCGGCAUGCCUAACACAUGCAAGUCGAACGAAGCCUUCGGGCUUAGUGGCGCACGGGUGCGUAACACGUGGGAAUCUGCCCUUUGGUUCGGAAUAACAGUUAGAAAUGACUGCUAAUACCGGAUAAUGACGUAAGUCCAAAGAUUUAUCGCCGAAGGAUGAGCCCGCGUAGGAUUAGGUAGUUGGUGGGGUAAUGGCCCACCAAGCCGACGAUCCUUAGCUGGUCUGAGAGGAUGAUCAGCCACACUGGGACUGAGACACGGCCCAGACUCCUACGGGAGGCAGCAGUGGGGAAUAUUGGACAAUGGGCGAAAGCCUGAUCCAGCAAUGCCGCGUGAGUGAUGAAGGCCUUAGGGUUGUAAAGCUCUUUUACCAGGGAUGAUAAUGACAGUACCUGGAGAAUAAGCUCCGGCUAACUCCGUG